AAGAUGAAGAAAGAGGAAAUGCCCUCUGGACAAUCCCAGUGUCAGAUUCUUGCUUGGCCAUUGCUGAAGAGGCUGCUCAUCUCCUGCCUGCCCUGGGUUGGAUGUGAGGUACAGAAGCACUGAAAAAGGCACAAGGAGAAGCCAUUUCCUCCUGUGUUCCUGAUGGCAGAGGAAUGGAGGAGCCCCCACGCUUGAGAGCUAGGUGGCAUCUCCRCACUGUGUGGUGGCAGUCCCUGCUCACCGCUGGACUCUGGGCAACACGGGAACCUGGAGGACACAGCCCCAUAUCCGGGGCAGGAAGGUGCUUCCAUGGAGAGUCGCCCAGUAUUCCCUAUAAGACCCUGUAAGAUUCUARGAUUCUCAUCUGGCUGCAAUGA